UACGUAGGGGGCAAGCGUUGUCCGGAUUUAUUGGGCGUAAAGAGCGUGUAGGCGGCCAGGUAGGUCGGUUGUGAAAACUGGAGGCUUAACCUCCAGACGUCGACCGAAACCAUCUGGCUAGAGUCCGGAAGAGGAGAGUGGAAUUCCUGGUGUAGCGGUGAAAUGCGCAGAUAUCAGGAAGAACACCCGUGGCUAAUGCUGCUCUCUAGUUCGGUACUGACGCUGAUACGCGAAAGCGUGGGGAGCGAACAGG
rnacentral:rRNA from 1 species